GAAAGGGUGCGUCAACACGUGGGAAUUUACCAAGAAGUGGGGAAUAGCUCGACGAAAGUCGAAUUAAUACCGAUACGAUCGCAAGAUCAAAGCGGGGACCGAAGGCCUGGGCUUUUUGAGAAGCCCGGGCCCAUCAGUAGUUGGGGGGUAUGGCCACCAAGGCUAUGACGGGUAGCUGGUCUGAGAGGACGAACAGGCACACUGGAACUUGGGGAACCCGGGUCCCAAGAACAACCUUAACGGGUUGGGCAAGCAGUCCGGAAAAAUCUUUCCACAAUGGACGAAAGUCUGAUGGAGCGACGCCGCGUGGAGGAUCGAAGGUCUUUCGGAUUGUAAACUCCUGUCACUGCAGAACAAGGAUCAACGCGUGUGAAUCAGCAAGCGUCAUUUGAUGGUAUGCGGAGAGGAAGGGACGGCUAACUCUGUGCCAGCAGCCGCGGUAAGACAGAGGUCCCGAGCGUUGUUCGGAUUCAUUGGGCGUCAAAGGGUGUGUCAGGAGGUGGGGUCAAGUCAGGUGUGAAAUCUCAGAGCUUAACUCUGAAACUGCGCUUGAUACUGCUCCGCUAGAGGAUCGGAGGGGGUCAUCGGAAUCUUCAUCGGUGUCAGCAGUGAAAUGCGUCAGAUCUCAUCAAGGAACACCGGUGGC
rnacentral:rRNA from 1 species